rnacentral:lncRNA from 10 species
CAGGCCCAUUUCCUGCUGGGUCUCUCCUCCCUUGACUCUCCAGGGCUUAAGCCCCACCGGAGCGCGCGCUCCUGACUGCUGGAAGAGGAGCGGGAGGUGUCGGGAAGUGCCUGGUGGCAUGGGGGGGUUCCACCUUCCUUUCUCAGCCCCCUUUCUGUCCAUCUCAGGAAGCCCGAGAACAUCCGAAGAUUCCUAUUCUCUAGCCCACCUCCACUCGUUUGCGCCUCCCUUGUGCCCUCUUCCGUCUUUUCUCUCCUUUCUACCCCGUGGGUCCAAGGCUGAUAGGAAGUCCAGACUCAGUGCGGUGCUCCCAGCAGAUGCCAGCUGCAGACAUGUUCAGUGAAUUCACGAAUGAUGCCCAUCAUGGCCAGAUAUCACAGACCUGGGAUACCCUCAGGGUAGCCAUCCUUUCACUCCCCAGCCCCGGACUGUUACCUCAAAGGCAAAAAAUUCAUUUUCUGUCCCACAGAGAUACACAGCCACCAUGCCUCUUCCCGCCUCCCCCAUCCAGUCAGAAAAGGAAGUGGUGCCAAUUGAGGGAGUGAUGAGGGAUAGCUUCUUCUAUUGUCAUCCUCUUCCCAUUAUUAGAGGGUUCCUGGAAGUCUCUACCCCUUCCAGGAAGCUCUCAGGGAGUGAUCACAGCGACUGUGGCUCUUCCUGGCUUUGCCCAUUCUGAGCUGAAUGUGUACUUCUCCAUGUCGUGCGAAACUGCGCUCUGAUUUUCCAAUUAGCUGUUCCAACACCAAACAGCAGUCAAUUGCUCCUCUUUGGCUUUGGGGUGAGUUACUGGGGACAGAGAACUGCACUGACUCAGCUGACAUUCUCUUGACUUUGCCCUCUCUAAACUCACACACUAGCCUGGAGGAGAAAGAAGGUUCAUGAUGGCGGGGUGGGGGGAACAGAGGACCAAGUUAGCCAGGCUGGGAUUGAACAUUUGCUGUAGCUAAUCCACUUGUGAAUACUCUGCAGCUAAUUGUAUGCAGUGUAAAUACCUUGACAGCCUGUUUGUGUGUGUCUGUAAAUUCAGCUGUCUCCUCCCCCAAGUGUGCCCUGCCUGCUGCCUCAACACAGCCCAGUGUCUGACAAUGGGAGGCAACCUCAGAGAAGGGAAAGAGCCCUAGACAUCAGUCCUGCGUCCCAGUCCUAACCUCUCUAGGCCUCAGUUUCCCCAGAUGUAAACUAGGUAAGAUCCCUGUCUUCCUAGAGAGAAGUGGAGUAAUAAGAAUAACAGCUGACACCACAUGCCAGGCACUGUAUUAACUAUUUAAUCUUCAUAACCAUUAUGUAAGACAGGGCUGUUAUUCUCAUGGAAUGACAUAGGAAGAUGUAGUGACUCACUCAGCUGCUAAGGGGCCAAACUGAGCUUUGACCUCAGUAGCUUGGCUCGGCGACCUUGCCCUCUCC